rnacentral:rRNA from 1 species
UGGGGAAUAUUGCACAAUGGGGGAAACCCUGAUGCAGCGACGCCGCGUGAGCGAAGAAGGCUUUCGAGUCGUAAAGCUCUGUCCUAUGAGAAGAUAAUGACGGUAUCAUAGGAGGAAGCCCUGGCUAAAUACGUGCCAGCAGCCGCGGUAAUACGUAUGGGGCGAGCGUUGUCCGGAAUUAUUGGGCGUAAAGGGUACGUAGGCGGUUUUUUAAGUCAGGUGUCAAAGCGUGGAGCUUAACUCCAUUAAGCACUUGAAACUGAAAGACUUGAGUGAAGGAGAGGAAAGUGGAAUUCCUAGUGUAGCGGUGAAAUGCGUAGAUAUUAGGAGGAACACCGGUGGCGAAGGCGACUUUCUGGACUUUUACUGACGCUCAGGUACGAAAGCGUGGGGAGCAAACAGG